UACGAAGGGAGCAAGCGUUGUUCGGAAUUACUGGGCGUAAAGGGCGUGUAGGCGGAUGUAUCAGUCAGAGGUGAAAUCCCUGGGCUUAACCUAGGAACUGCCUUUGAGACGUUACAUCUAGAAUUCGGGAGAGGAUAGUGGAAUACCCAGUGUAGAGGUGAAAUUCGUAGAUAUUGGGUGGAACACCAGUGGCGAAGGCGACUAUCUGGACCGACAUUGACGCUGAGGCGCGAAAGCGUGGGGAGCAAACAGG
rnacentral:rRNA from 1 species